AUGCCCUCAAUGUUUACUCUACUCUAUAUUUUACUCAUCCUUUUCUCCGUCAGGACUACAAUACUCGAAGCAGCACAAGCAAACAAGUCGGAGAUUGAUCGCCAGGCCCUCCUCUGCUUCAAGUCCGGCAUCAGCUCUUAUCCCCUUGGCAUCCUUGACUCAUGGAGUGACGACUCACUUAACUUUUGCGGCUGGAAAGGGGUCACUUGCCGCACAAAGUUUCCACCCCGGGUGGCCUCUCUUAACUUCAACUAUGCUCGUCUCAGUGGGAAGUUAUCUGGAUGCCUGGGCAACUUGACAUUUCUAUCCAGGAUGAACCUUGCCUAUAAUAAUCUUUCGGGAACUAUCCCUGAAGAGUUGGGUAUGCUUCCAAACCUCCAUACACUGAAUCUUGCCGGCAGCUAUCUUCAAGGUAACAUCCCCAUUUCCUUAGGCGCUAGCAAUUCUCUUAGCUAUGUAUAUCUUGCAAACAACACCCUUACCGGUGGUAUUCCUCUCUCAUUGACCGAUUGCUCCUCACUCAGCACACUUAUACUGUCACGUAAUAACCUCUCAGGAGAGAUCCCUUCUACUUUGUUUGAUAAUUCAUCUAAGCUUGCUGUGGUUGAUCUCCAGAAGAAUUCUUUCACUGGUCUCAUCCCACGUUUCCAUAAGGUCACAGCACUCAAAUUUCUUUGCCUGACAGAGAACUUCCUCUCUGGAAACAUACCUCCUUCAAUAGGAAAUGUUUCUUCCCUCACUUCUAUAUUGCUCGGCCAAAAUAAGCUAUCAGGAUUAAUUCCAGAAACUAUAGGUCACACUACAAAACUGCUUGAGCUUGACCUAAGUUUCAACAGUUUAUCAGGUAAUGUCCCGGUUUCCCUUUAUAACAUGUCAUCACUCAAAAACUUUAGUGUUGGCAGCAAUGGCCUUGUUGGACAGUUACCAUCUUACAUUGGUCACUCACUACCAACCCUCCAGUCCCUAAUUAUGGGAAGCAACAGGCUGGAGGGCUUGAUCCCUACUUCACUAACCAACAUGUCAAAUCUUCAAAUGCUUGAUCUUUCAGACAACUCACUAAAUGGCCGUGUUCCAUCUCUUGGUUCUUUGGCAAACUUGAGCCAGUUAGUUUUGGGGAGCAACUUGCUAGAAGCACAUGACUGA
rnacentral:rRNA from 1 species